rnacentral:rRNA from 1 species
GAAGUAAAAAGUCGUAACAAGGUCUCCGUUGGUGAACCAGCGGAGGGAUCAUUACCGAGUUUACAACUCCCAAACCCCUGUGAACAUACCACUUGUUGCCUCGGCGGAUCAGCCCGCUCCCGGUAAAACGGGACGGCCCGCCAGAGGACCCCUAAACUCUGUUUCUAUAUGUAACUUCUGAGUAAAACCAUAAAUAAAUCAAAACUUUCAACAACGGAUCUCUUGGUUCUGGCAUCGAUGAAGAACGCAGCAAAAUGCGAUAAGUAAUGUGAAUUGCAGAAUUCAGUGAAUCAUCGAAUCUUUGAACGCACAUUGCGCCCGCCAGUAUUCUGGCGGGCAUGCCUGUUCGAGCGUCAUUUCAACCCUCAAGCACAGCUUGGUGUUGGGACUCGCGUUAAUUCGCGUUCCCCAAAUUGAUUGGCGGUCACGUCGAGCUUCCAUAGCGUAGUAGUAAAACCCUCGUUACUGGUAAUCGUCGCGGCCACGCCGUUAAACCCCAACUUCUGAAUGUUGACCUCGGAUCAGGUAGGAAUACCCGCUGAACUUAAGCAUAUC